CCUACGGGAGGCAGCAGUGGGGAAUAUUGCACAAUGGGGGCAACCCUGAUGCAGCGACGCCGCGUGAGUGAAGAAGGAUUUCGGUAUGUAAAGCUCUAUCAGCAGGGACGAAAAUGACGGUACCUGCUUAAGAAGCCCCGGCUAACUACGUGCCAGCAGCCGCGGUAAUACGUAGGGGGCGAGCGUUAUCCGGAUUUACUGGGUGUAAAGGGAGCGUAGACGGCAGCACAAGUCAGGAGUGAAAUGCCGGGGCUUAACCCCGGAACUGCUAUGGUAACUGUGCAGCUAGAGUGCAGGAGAGGUAAGUGGAAUACCCAGUGUAGCGGUGAAAUGCGUAGAUAUUAGGUGGAACACCAGUGGCGAAGGCGGCUAACUGGACUGUAACUGACGUUGAGGCUCGAAAGCGUGGGGAGCAAACAGGAUUAGAUACCCUUGUAGUC
rnacentral:rRNA from 1 species